rnacentral:rRNA from 1 species
UACGUAGGGGGCUAGCGUUGUCCGGAAUCAUUGGGCGUAAAGAGCGCGUAGGCGGCCAGAUAAGUCCGGUGUGAAAGUCAAAGGCUCAACCUUUGAAUGCCGCUGGAAACUGUCUGGCUAGAGUCCGGGAGGGGCGAGUGGAAUUCCUGGUGUAGCGGUGAAAUGCGUAGAUAUCAAGAGGAACACCUGAGGUGAAGACGGGUUGCUGGGCUGACACUGACGCUGAGGCGCGAAAGCCAGGGGAGCAAACGGG